CGACGGUUUUGGGUAAAACCGUCUUAAAAUCAUUCAUCUUCAUUUUCAUCAAAAUCGUCGUAGUAGACUGGACAAGUUUAAAGUGAGAUGGAGGUGGAGCCCGUGAGCCAUUGUCACUGAAGAAGCUAAGCUUCAAGUCUGUGAAGCGCUCUCUCGAUCUCUUCUCUCCCAUUCACGGACACCUCACUCCUCCUGAUGCUGAAAGUUUUGAAUUAGUAGCACACUUGUUGCCGUUGGAUUUUUCUCCUAUUUGGCAUCCUCGACGAUUUCCGCGAUGGGGUUUCCAAAUACCCUAAUUUUUUCAAUAGUGGUUGAAAACAACGAGAGGAGGGUGCUGGAGAUGGUUAACUGGGAUCCACUUUUGACAGUGAGUGCCUUAGAGAAAGAGUUCGUUGUUGAUGAGGAUUCCGCGAAGAGGAAAUUUAGGUUUUCGGUGAAGUAUGAGAAGGAUUUGGAUUUGGAAUUGGAUGAUAGUAGGAAGCUUAAUUUGCUCAACACGCUUCCUUUGGUGUUUUCGUAUUCAAAUGUUGCGGAAGUAGCUACGAGCAUCUUACUUGGGCAGAACCGAGAUGUGUUAGGGUUUGUUCUUGAAGGAUGUGUAUGAUGGAAAUGAGGUUUUGAUUGAGAAGGACCCACAAUUAUUAUUUGAUGAGAAGCUUUAUAAGUAUGCUUAGGUGGACCAAAUGGAACCCAGGUUCUGAGGAGGUUUAUUUGAGAAUUUCAAGGUUUCAUCACACAUUACUUUCUCACUUUCAUUGAAUUUCUGUAUAUAUUUUGUUGUAAACUGCAAUGCAUGUGUAAGUUAAUAAUUCAUAGUAACUUAGCCUGCUUACUUCGUUUCA